CAUAACAAAGAUUUGGCUGCUGUCAUUUUACUCAAAUUCUUCCUUACUCUUGUUACAGUAGAAGAGCAGGAGGCAGCAGGCUUACCCAACGUUCUCACAGGUGGCUUGAGCAGGAGUACAGUGUCUCUCCCAACACACACUAGGGCCAUGCAACUUGAUACAUGGCAACUAGAAGAGCUCAAAGAUCACAGAGACAAAGACAGACUGAAACCCCUUUCCAGAAACCAGCUCCAGAGCACAGGAACCUGCAGAGGUGUACGAUCCCUUGGCUGGAGUUACAGGUGGUUGUGAGCCUCCUAGCAUACGUAGGUGCUGAAACUCAGGACCUCCGCUUAAGAGCUAAGCCACCUGUCCAUUUAAUAUUUUUGAAAUGUGUUAACCAUUUAAAAUUCUACCCUACUUUUGGAUCUACUCAGAUGAGCAAAGAUGGCUGGAUUUUAUCAUUGAUGUUCACAGACUGUCCCUGGAGCAGCACCUAAUAGUAUGGAUUACCAGACCCUUCCCAAGUCUUAAAAUGGGUCCUACGUGAAAUCAAAGAUACUGCCAUAGGAAAGACAGUGGUAGGAACAUAUGUUACAUAUAUACCUAAAUCCAAAAUGCACCAAGGUGAAUGACUAGCUAGCUGGUACAUUUAGGUGAGAAUUUUGCUUAACAGCCACUUUCCAACUUUGUGGUGGUCACUGUAUUUUGUCAAAAAAAAACUGUUCAUUAAAAGAAUUCUGCUCUUUUUGUUAUCAAAACUUAGUUGAGAGCCAGAGAGAUGGCUUAGCAGGUAAAAGUACUUGCCACUAGACCCGAUGACCUGAGUUCAAUCCCCAGGGUGCACAGGUGGAAGGAGAGAUCUGGGUCCUGCAGGUUGCCUUCUGGCUUUCAUAGAUGUGCUGUGGUGUGAGUGCACACACCCAUAUAAGUUAGUAGAUAAAGUCAAAGGUUAAAACUGAGUUUAAAUCUCUUUCAUUAGUUAAUACAGGAUGAAGUUUUAAGUCUUGUCAGAAGAAAGGUGGUUAUGCACUGUCUUAAAUAAGGGUAAUAUGAAGCCACAUCUGACAGAGAAUGCCUUUGUGGAUUCAUUCAUUACAGUAAUGUUGAUGACAUUAACUGAAAUAUACUCAGAGAGUUCCUGUGUUCACUUCAGGUAAGCUAACCCUUGGAUGACAGCUUUGAUGUCCUCAUCAGACUCAUCCCUCAUGGAAACCUAAUAUUAGGGGUCUGCCCUGGAGAGUGAAGGUAUUUUAGAAAGUUCCAUUUGGACCUGUAGCUGCAGCUUCUUUCAGAAAGCUUUUGGUUAAGAUAACAUUAAGAGAACACAGGGGGCUUGGGUCCAGUUUAUUACCUUCCUAGUUACGAAGGAGGUCUUACAGAGAAUACGGAUAAAGUCCUGGGAGUUGAAUGGAGAAAAACUCAAGGUAAAAUUGAUUGUCAUCUUUAGAUUAAUAAAGGUUAGAUUACAGGGAACCCUACCAAAAGGCACCUCUUUUAAAGGAAUAAUUUACUUCAUGAGCAGUUAGCUAAUCCUUUAGUAUCAUUUAGUGUUUCCAUGUUUACAUUUAGAUUUUCAUUAACAUGCUGCUAUUGAACAUCUUUCAUGAUUUAAAAGCUGUAAAAUAUUUUAAUUUGUGAUGCAUUUGUUUACAAAGCCAACCACUUAAUUCUAUAUAAUAUGUAGCACUUGAAACCAUCUGUUAGGAACAUUUGAAGACUUUGGUGCACAUUGUGAAGAUGUAUACAGCAAACGAGAAACAAAAUAUGAAAUAUUCAGGCCCUGUUUGUGAUGGAGAAAAAAAAAACAUGUAUUUUAAGUUUGAAAACAUUGCAGUCUGAAAUUUGACAAAGAAGCUUUCCAAAGUGAAGCACUUUUCUAAUUUCGGGCAAGUGUCAAACUGACAUUUUAGAAGCUGGGGAGAUGACUUUGUAGAUAAAUGUUCUUGAUGCACAACAUGAAGAACUGAGUUCAAAUCCCCAGUGCCGAUGUAAAUGUGGCCAUGCACAGGCCUGUGCUGUGAAGGAUCGAGACAGAAGGACCCAGUGUCCUUCUCUGGCCUCUUGCACACACAUGGGAGAAGCCCAUUUUAACUGAUUUGAAGUAAAAAUAUUGGCAUAAUAUGAACUAGAAUUAUGCUUCUGAGAGUUUGUAUUUCAGAAUAGUUAACUGUCCCAUGGGGCUCUCUUGAGAACUUGCUGCUGUGAAGCCAAGAGGGAGGCUGUGGUAAGCGAAGGGUGUCAUUCUGGGAGGCAAAGCACCAUGUGUCCUUUGUGGUCUCGCAAAUGCUGAUCUGGGCAAAAUACUCACAUACAUAAAACAAAAUAAUCUAUAAAACAUGUAAGGAAUCCAGGAAGGACUGCAGUUUCUGCCACACAAUCGCCGUCAGCACUGCCUUCCUGGAUUCCUCUUUUCAUGUUUUAGAUUAUCUUGGUUUAUGUAUAUGAGUGUUUUGCCUACAUCCAUGUAUAUGUACCAAAUGUAUGCAAUACCACAGAGGCCAACAGAAUGCAUAGGAUCUAGAACUGGGGUUAUGCAUGACUGUGAGCCACUGUGUAGGUGCUGGGAACAGAACAGGUCCUCUGUAAGAGCAACAAGCACUCUCAACCUGAGUCAUCUCUGAAGUGCAUUUAAUCCUCUAUUCUAGUGCCCAAACCAGACCACCUUAUAAUUAAACACAGGUGAGGUUGUUUACAGUAUCUACUGCCUACAAGUCUCAUAGUAGCACUGUGACCCCUCAUGGGUGUUACACAAAGCACAUUUCCUUGUCAAAAACUCUAGCAAGACCACAGUAGUUUACAAUAUGUUAACCUGCUGCUGGCUGUUCCACACCUAUCAUUGUGCUAGGAUAUAAUUCAAAUUAUCGUACCCUUCCCUUCAAUUUUUUUAUCAAAGACCCUAUAAGUGCUUAUUACUUCCUACCCAAGAUAAUGUGCAGUUCUCCCUUCUCUUGACUUCCCUAGAUUGAUCAUUUUGUCAUUGAAUCAACCUCACCCUAAGGCCUUCCUCCUUGUGGAGGUGCAUGAUAUGUUGAGUUGAAUCAAAGUCACCCAAGUCUUCACUCUGGUUUUAUGUUUACAUUUCCUGCUGACUGAAUGAGCUUCCCUAUCUGCAUGUCUGAAUGACAAUACUUUUUGUAUUUCCACACCCAUGUUCCCAUUAAUUUAUGUCAUCAUUUUGAACUGUGUACAGUUUCAAGCCUUUGGCUCCCUGGAACUAACAUUUAGAAUACCAGACUUUGUUCAUCUCCAGCAAAGUCAAAUUUUAUAUGCUUAUUUGGGUUUAAUACAAUUCUUUUGAAACUCAUGAGCAAUUCCUGGUGAGUGGGGGGAGUUGAGUUCAGUCUUUGGAUUUCUAACAUGAACUCCUAGCAUGGGUCCAUAUUUAAAGACUUGCUGGAUGAAUGACAGUUAUUAAGAUUCCUAUGGUUGCUAUGAGUCUGUUUUAAAAUAGUUUUGAUAUAAUGGAACACCCUCUGCAAUGAGUAAAAAUAAGAGGCAGUGUGGAUUCACAGGAGAAGGCAAAUGAUUGGUGUGAAAACAUUGCCAGGGUGAAACUGUGAACAGGCAGAAAUGCUCAAUUCAGACUCCUGUCCCAGGGUGCCAGGCUUUGAUGGGCGUGUGGCUCGCAUGUUUUGAUGACUGGCCCACGGCAGAGACUUGUGUGUCCGCAUCCUGCUCCCUGACAUCCUGAACAGGAGACUCUUUGCCACCAUGCUCAAUGACAGCAAGUUGCACCCCUGAUACUUGGUAAAUGCAUGUUUGAGAAGAGAGAGGAUAGAAGGGUGAAGUGGCUUGUCCUUAGGAACACGGUAAAGGAAGGUGGAUUUUU
ensembl:lincRNA